GAUGAAGAACGUAGCGAAAUGCGAUAAGUAAUGUGAAUUGCAGAAUUCCGUGAAUCAUCGAAUCUUUGAACGCACAUUGCGCCCCCUGGUAUUCCGGGGGGCAUGCCUGUCCGAGCGUCAUUGCAACCCUCAAGCGCGGCUUGUGUGUUGGGCUUCGUCCCCCCGUGGACGUGCCCGAAAGGCAGUGGCGGCGUCCCGGAUGGUGCCCGAGCGUAUGGGAACUCUCUUCCGCUCGAACCGGCCCAUUCGGCGCUGGUCGAACCCCAAUUUUUUUUUACCGGUUGACCUCGGAUCAGGUAGGGAUACCCGCUGAACUUAAGCAUAUCAAUAAGCGGAGGA
rnacentral:misc_RNA from 1 species